AGAGUUUGAUCAUGGCUCAGAAUCAACGCUGGCGGCGUGCCUAACACAUGCAAGUCGAACGAGAAAGGGUAGCAAUACCUGAGUAAAGUGGCGCACGGGUGAGUAACACGUGACUAACCUACCCUGGAGUGGGGAAUAACUGAGGGAAACCUUAGCUAAUACCGCAUAAUACCUACGGGUCAAAGGAGCAAUUCGCUUCAGGAGGGGGUCGCGGCCGAUUAGUUAGUUGGCGGGGUAAUGGCCCACCAAGACAGUGAUCGGUAUCCGGCCUGAGAGGGCGCACGGACACACUGGAACUGAAACACGGUCCAGACUCCUACGGGAGGCAGC
rnacentral:rRNA from 1 species